AACGAACGCUGGCGGCAUGCCUAACACAUGCAAGUCGAACGAGACCUUCGGGUCUAGUGGCGCACGGGUGCGUAACGCGUGGGAACCUGCCCUUAGGUUCGGAAUAACUCCCCGAAAGGGGUGCUAAUACCGGAUAAUGUCUUCGGACCAAAGAUUUAUCGCCUUUGGAUGGGCCCGCGUUGGAUUAGCUAGUUGGUAGGGUAAAAGCCUACCAAGGCGACGAUCCAUAGCUGGUCUGAGAGGAUGAUCAGCCACACUGGGACUGAGACACGGCCCAGACUCCUACGGGAGGCAGCAGUGGGGAAUAUUGGACAAUGGGCGAAAGCCUGAUCCAGCAAGGCCGCGUGAGUGAUGGAGGCCUUAGGGUUGUAAAGCUCUUUUACCCGGGAUGAUAAUGACAGUACCGGGAGAAUAAGCUCCGGCUAACUCCGUG
rnacentral:rRNA from 1 species